rnacentral:rRNA from 1 species
AACGAACGCUGGCGGCAUGCCUAACACAUGCAAGUCGAACGAUUGCCUUCGGGUGAUAGUGGCGCACGGGUGCGUAACGCGUGGGAAUCUGCCCUUAGGUUCGGAAUAACAGCUGGAAACGGCUGCUAAUACCGGAUGAUAUCGCGAGAUCAAAGAUUUAUCGCCUGAGGAUGAGCCCGCGUUGGAUUAGGUAGUUGGUGGGGUAAAGGCCUACCAAGCCGACGAUCCAUAGCUGGUCUGAGAGGAUGAUCAGCCACACUGGGACUGAGACACGGCCCAGACUCCUACGGGAGGCAGCAGUGGGGAAUAUUGGACAAUGGGCGCAAGCCUGAUCCAGCAAUGCCGCGUGAGUGAUGAAGUCCCUAGGGUUGUAAAGCUCUUUUACCCGGGAAGAUAAUGACUGUACCGGGAGAAUAAGCCCCGGCUAACUCCGUG